GUAUCCUCGUCUCAUCCCUGGCUGCACCUCUUCUGAUGCCAUGGCACCAGUGGUGGCUCCUCGAUGGAGCACCUCCUUCCAUGACGGCACCACCAGCGGCUCUUGCUCGACGCCACGAUACACAACAUCGAGGCCACCCCUGAUGCUCAGGCUGAUGCUUCUUCGCUUGAUGCCGAAGAAAAGGAUGAUCAGAUUCAGACGCCCAAGAACAACAGCUACUAUGAAUAUUAUGAUUGAGCGACUGCUUGGCGAUGUCAUCGUCAGAGGCUCAGGCCUCCUCCCUGGACAAGGCACUCGUGCUAGGCGGCGGCGAUCUGUGCGCCGGUUCAAGAGGUGGUAAGACGGUCGCAAGAAUGCCAAGCUCUUCAGCUGUGGCAUCAUGCAAUAAUGGAAUUGAGCAUUCUGGCCAAAACAUAAAGGACAACGAAUAUGCAAGGUUGGUGACACCAGCUGAACAUGCAACAGCUGACAAGAAAUUUUGCCUGAGCAACCAAAGUUAAGACACUUCAUUUGGUGAAUGAAAGAUUUGCUUGGAUGCUUCCAUCUUAUAUUAGCAUCUUAUAUCUUCGUGAAAUUUGGAGCCCCUUUGCCUUUGAAAAUGGUAGCGGUACUCUCUCUGCUGUGGCUGCGUGUUCGACCGGCCAGCCAAGGAUCUCCAACAAGCAUGUGCGCCUACUCUCCUUGCCCUUAAUUCCUGCCACAACAGCAGCUCCUGUGUAGUGUGAGCCAGAGAACUACUACACUAAUCAUGUUCCUGGCCUAGCAUGUGACAGUGGUGCCGCGAGGAUUUGCUGCCGUGGGAGGAGGGGCCCGACCCAGAUGGCGGCCACCAGUAGGUCACACACUUAUUCAGCUCGCCGUCUGGUUACUCUGAUGGCUUCUCUAAGGUAUCUUCUCGUGCAGCUUCACUCUUGCUUGUGUGUCUCGCGUGAAAAAUUAAGCUACCUAGCACUUGCUCUACUCUGCUUUAGCAGGCGCUCGCAAAGGAGGCCAAGGGAUACAUGAUACUGGUAAUUUACUAAUGAUCCAUCUUAGUGGAAUGCUUUUGUUGUAGAUAUUUUCAUUGGUUGUCCUUUCAUUUUAUUUAUAUUCAUGGCUGGAUGGUGCCUUCCACUAUGCUUCUUCACUGAAAAGGUGUUUCGCAUAUGUGUACUUGCUUGAGAAUGGAAUAAUCUCAGAAUUCCGUUGAAAACAAAACUUAGUUAUUUCAGCAUGCAUAGUGUUUGGCUAUAGAGAUUGAGUGCUUCACAUAUCCGAUGCCAUCUCAGAAUAAUCCCAGACCUGUUUAAAUAACUUAGUGUUUGGCUAAGGAGUCCACAUUGAACGCCACAUAUCCGAUGCCAACACACCGAGGUGAGCUUCAGCAAACUCUCUCUCUCUCUCUCUCUCUCUCUCCAAUCAGACAUGUGAAUAUUUACCAGUGCUUCAAGAUCGAUCUGACGAAAGCCGUCCACUGCCGCUCUGCUGUUUCUCUCUCUCUCUCUCUCUCUCUCUCUCUCUCUCUCCUGUGAAUAUUUACCAGAGUGCUUCAAGAUCGAUCCGACGAAAGCCGUCCACUGCCGCUCUGCUAUUGGGACUAAUUUGGACGGGAAUGGUGAUUUCAUGGUUGAUUAUGAUUACUUGGUUGUUGCUCUUGGAGUUACUGUGAAUACAUUCAACACUCCUGGUGUGAUGGGGCAUUGCCACUUUCUGAAGGUAAUGGAGGAUGCCCAAAAGAUUCGGAAGAGCGUGAUAGACUACUUUGAAAAGGCGUCACCUCCUAACCUCAGUGAAGAGGAGAGAAGGAAGAUCCUUCACUUUGUGAUUAUCGGUGGUGGACCUACUGGGGUUGAAUUUGCGGUGGAGUUGCAUGAUUUUCUUGUCGAAGAUCUGGUGAAGCUAUAUCCUGCAAUUGAAGAAUUUGUGAAGAUAACAAUUCUGCAAUCAGGAGAACAUACAAUGAGGGUUGAACGUUCCUGCAGUAAUAACCUUAGUUUUGGGCAAGAUGAUCAAGGAGUAGCGAAACUUUAGCAGUCAUCUUUGGCUUCACCAUCUUCCUCCCCUGAUCAUGCAUCUAUUUUAGAUCAUAUAAUUAUGCUAUAUCAUAUAUAUUGUUUAGUUCAGACUUGUGCAUGUGCGUCCAUUGGCAUUGAUUUAUACAGAGAUAUUGCAUGAUUUGUACA